GUGACCUCAGGUCCGACGGGGCCACCCGCUGAAUUUAAGCAUAAAGGGCGAAUUCG
rnacentral:rRNA from 1 species